CCAGAAGAGACCCUAACCGGUCCUCUCAACCCUGCCCAUCGUACCCUUUGUGUUGUUCCCUCGGUGAGGCUCGCGGCCCGCCGGCGGGAAGAUCAACGAAACCCUUUGCAAGCAAGCAUCCUGAAAUCUCUGAUCGAAUACAAAUAGUCA
rnacentral:misc_RNA from 1 species